AUGCUGAAAGGCCUGGGAAUAUAUUUCCCAAAGGAAGAAUUACAGGAGGUGCUUACAUCCAUUCCUCUUGAUAUAGAAGAAGGCCCCCUGAAAGCUCUGGCUGCCAUUAGAAAAAAUGUGGUCACUCCUGAUGAUCUAGGCUCCAUCCUGAAAAAUAUAGGAGUUCCAUUACCUCAAGAUGCACUUCAAAGAUCAGUGCAGAAUGUGGCUCUCAUGGAGGAUGGAAAAGUAAAUUUAGAAGAAUUUAUUGGCAAUUUAAUCAAUCCAGGAUCUUCACCUCUACCUGAAAGUAAGAAUUUUCAGUUGAAUAUAGAUAAUAAGCGGGUUGUGGAUCUCUUGGGAAAAUCCCAGCUAGGGUUUUGAGGUGUUCUUUUAAAAAAAUUUUUUUUAUUGGAGUUCAGUUUGCCAACAUAUAACACCCCAUGCUCAUCCUGCCAAGUGCCCCCCUCAGUGUCCCCCUCAGUGCCAAUCACCCCACCCACCUCCCUUUCUUGAGGUGUUCUUAAACUGAUUUAACACUGGCUUAGUUUUCUAAUGUCUUUAUUCUAUACAUGUCAAAUGUGUAGGACAACUAAGAGAACAUACUCUUUAGAGAGUACUAGUUACCUCUUUUGCCUAGUCUGAGACCAGAAUCUUGACUGCAGUUAUCUUUUCAGUAAGGGCCUUAUGAAGAAAAGAAUAUUAUUAGUUAAAAUGACUAAAACAGCACUUGGCAUUAGGUUGUUUACAAGUUACUCUUCUUUAACUUAAGUGUAAUUGCAUGAGACAUUUUAACAUGAUAAUUAGUGGUUCCUGGUACUGAUUUAUAAUAAUUCUUUAUCAAGAAACUAGUGAAAACCUUUGUUACUAUUAGGAGAAUUUUUGUUCAGGUUUGUUAUUUUUCUUUUAUUUGAAUAUUGUUUUCUUUGGCUAUUUCUUUGUAUUAGCUCUGUGGGUUUUUUAAAAAUUUCUCUUUAUACACUAAUUCAAAGUUUAAAUUUAGCACAAUGUUUGUCAGUUAUAACGUUAAGAACCCUUUCCCUCUUUUGGUUUGCCUGGUGUUUCCAUAAUCUUAGGCCUCUGAGUUCCCUGGUAGGCUGCACUUUCUUGCCCCUCUGGUGCUGAAAAAGGAAGGAACGAUUUAUAGUUUGCACAUUUAAGUGAGAAGAAGACUUCUGACACCAAGCCAAAAUUAUACACACAUUCAAAUCACUUUAUACUGUCCAUUUUUAAGCAUGCUUAUUGGUUGCAGAAGCUCAAGGUUUACUUCUUCAACCAUCUCCACCUACUUUUGGAUAGGCACACACGUGUAGCUUUGACAAGCCAAAAAUAUUUAUGAAGAGAUGUUUUGUAGAAAUGCCUUUUUUGAGGCAACUUUCUAAUAUAUCUCAGCUGUUUUUGAGAACUGGUGCCAAAACAGCCAUAACAAAAGUGUCACUGUAUCUCCUGAAAGCAUUGCCCAUUAUGCUAUUUAGUGAUGAAUAUGAAAAAUGUCUUGAAAUUUAAUAUAUAAAAAAACCUUUCUCUCUCCCAAAGACCAGUGUGCUUCUUUGUGUAGACAGUAACCUGAGUUCCCCAUUAUGCCUUAGCUUCCAAAAAGUUCAGAUCUAAAUUUAAUAUUUAAUCAUUAUAACUAUUGGCUUUGUUUGUUAUUUACUACCUUUUUCUUGUGUGUUUUAAAAUUUUUUCUAUUUCUAUUUUAGUGUAUUAAUUUGCAUUGAAUAAUUCUUUAAACUAUUUUGGGAAGUCAUUCUUUAUGAAGCAGUGUAUCAAAAACUGGUAUCCGUGAAUGCUGGCCCAUGGGAUAUCUAUGAAUAUGUCAUAAAAAAGAGUCCUGUGACUAAAUAUGAAAAACACUAGAGUAUAAAACAAAUUUCCCUGCAACCAGACUAUUAAGAGACUUUAUACAUUUAAGAGUUUGAUAGAGGGAUCCCUGGGUGGCUCAGUAGUUUAGCACCUGCCUUUGGCCCAGGGUCCCACGUCGGGCUCCCUGCAUGGAGCCUGCUUAUCCCUCUGCCUGUGUCUCUGCCUCUCUCUCUCUCUCUCUCUCUCUUUUCUGUGUCUCAUGAAUAAAUAAAUAAAAUAUUAAAAAAAAGAGUUUGAUAGAGUUGAUAUACAGCAGACCCUGAAUCUACCAGAUCACAGAAUUCUUUCAUUGUUGUUAUUUUGUUUUGAUAAUUUUAGAAAUGAUACCCAACAAUCCAGAAUUACACUAAUAGGUAUUUACCCAAAGGCUACAAAAGUACUAGUUUGAAGGGGGUACUUGUGCCCCAAUGUUUAUAGGAGCAUUAUUA
rnacentral:lncRNA from 1 species